GUAUUUAUGUGGCAGGAGUCACCACGAGGAUGAAAGUGGUUUUCCCAGGUGAGGGUUAACUGCUGCACUCUGGGUGUGCUGACUUCUGUGAUUUCCCCAAAUGUGGGAGAUGCUGACUGGAGUUUACAGUAGUGGGAGACGGUUUUUGCAUUCUACCCUG
ensembl:snRNA U1 U1 spliceosomal RNA